AGGUCUGUCCCCUUUCCAAGGGAUUCCUCCCACUGCUGGUGCUCCGGCUCCCUGCAGACACAGCUUUACCCAGAUGGGUUUUGUUGAGCCCCGGGGCAAACGGAUUCUUGAGCUUAAGAUUUUUGUUCAUGUUUGACUUUAUGACGUCCUCGCCAGUGACAGGAGCAUAGUUUUACCAAUUAAAGUAAGCUGUGGAAGCCAGGAAGUGGGAAGGACUUCUUGUCCCCAUGGUUCUCCCUGUCCCCGCUGAGCAGAAGCCCUUAAAGAGAGGUGGAUUUUUGAGAGAAAUUUGAUCCUCUGAAGGCUGAAGCUGCCCUGCCACUUAUUCAAGGCAGCAGAUCAGACAUGAUGGAACAUCUUUAUGAAUGUCCUUUCUGACAGUGAAAAUGCAAAUCAUUCUGUUCAUCAGUAACCACAAAGAACCAACAUGUCUCCUGGCCCAGAAGUUUCCCACCACUUCCAGCCUACAAUGGAUAAUUCAAGUGAGAACUUCUUGGUGGUGCCAAUAAUUUAUGCAUUCCCAUCUGCUGGGCAAAAAAAGGACUUGGAGCAGAUCAUUUAUCUGUGCUGACAGUGAACAGAACAUCUGGAGGGAAGAGUUUUGACCCAGGAAGCUGCUGGGAAAGGGAAUUUUGUUGAAGUAACCAUGCCCUAGAGAUGGAAAAUGGGUUAAAUUCUUCUUGACCCCUUCCCAUUAUCAUUUUGUGAUCUUGGAUUAAUGUUAUAGUGGAAUGAAAUGUCACUAAUUCCAUAAGAGCUAAUGAGAUGUGCCAGCUGCCUUCAGAAAGUCUCGGGCAUCCCAAUCCCUGCCCUGAGCAGCCCAACAAAUCCUGCUUUCCGUGGCUGCCUCGUGACUUCCAAAUGUCCUUGAGGUUCUGCCUAAGACAUCCACUAUGUCUA